GGAGGGUGCAAGCGUUAAUCGGAAUUACUGGGCGUAAAGCGCACGCAGGCGGUUUGUUAAGUCAGAUGUGAAAUCCCCGGGCUCAACCUGGGAACUGCAUCUGAUACUGGCAAGCUUGAGUCUCGUAGAGGGGGGUAGAAUUCCAGGUGUAGCGGUGAAAUGCGUAGAGAUCUGGAGGAAUACCGGUGGCGAAGGCGGCCCCCUGGACGAAGACUGACGCUCAGGUGCGAAAGCGUGGGGAGCAAACAGGGAUUAGAUACCCUGGUAGUCCACGCCGUAAACGAUGUCGACUUGGAGGUUGUGCCCCUUGAGGCGUGGCUACCGGAGCUAACGCGUUAAGUCGACCGCCUGGGGAGUACGGCCGCAAGGUUA
rnacentral:rRNA from 1 species